CGUAACGAUGGAAAUGAAGCUCCGGAAAAUCGUAACGCUGCAAAAAUGAAGCUCUGGAAAAUCGUAACGAGAAUAUUACGAAUUCCGUAAUAUUUUGCCGCGCAGAAAUAGGUGUCCAUAAAAACGGAGUCAGAGUCGGGAGACCCCGUCC